AUGCACGCUGGCGGCGUGCCUAAUACAUGCAAGUCGAGCGAACAGACGAGGAGCUUGCUCCUCUGACGUUAGCGGCGGACGGGUGAGUAACACGUGGAUAACCUACCUAUAAGACUGGGAUAACUUCGGGAAACCGGAGCUAAUACCGGAUAAUAUAUUGAACCGCAUGGUUCAAUAGUGAAAGACGGUUUUGCUGUCACUUAUAGAUGGAUCCGCGCCGCAUUAGCUAGUUGGUAAGGUAACGGCUUACCAAGGCAACGAUGCGUAGCCGACCUGAGAGAGUGAUCGGCCACACUGGAACUGAGACACGGUCCAGACUCCUACGGGAGGCAGCAGUAGGGAAUCUUCCGCAAUGGGCGAAAGCCUGACGGAGCAACGCCGCGUGAGUGAUGAAGGUCUUCGGAUCGUAAAACUCUGUUAUUAGGGAAGAACAAAUGUGUAAGUAACUAUGCACGUCUUGACGGUACCUAAUCAGAAAGCCACGGCUAACUACGUG
rnacentral:rRNA from 1 species